ensembl:lncRNA
UAUGUAGAAUGCAUACUGUUUACACCAGCAAAAGCAUAUGUAUAGGCAUAUUUAUAAUAUUUAACUCCUUGAUAUUUAACUCUAUUUAACUCGUUCACUGAUUGAGAAAACAAAUAUUCAGAACAAUCCUAAUGGACAUCUUAAGUGCAUAAACUGUGCAAAUUGUUACUAAAUCGAGGGAGGAAGUUGUUGCUUGUUAUCAGCGUAAAUAGUAAAUACUAACAGUCCUGAUAACCCCGAUACAGUCUUCCUGAUCUGUGCUCUCCAUUUUAUCGUACUGUUGCUUGUCUUUUCCUUUUCUGAGCGGAGACCUUACGUUGCUUUAACCACAAUGCUCUUCUCACAUCGCUCCACCGCUUCAUCUCCUCGAGCACUGUAUCAAAUGUAAUUCCAACUGUGAGUUUUAAAGUGUUUCUUUGGCUGUCGCACUGUUGAAUUUUAGCUUCGAGGGCAAAGUCCACGCUGUUGUUUCUGUGCACUCUCAUUCGCUUGCAACCCUCUCAUCUUCAUCUCACCCAUGAACAUCUUUCCUUUGGCAAGGGCUCUCAGUCUUUGGGUAGACAGGCACACAGUGGAAGAAUUAAAGAAAAAGAAAACACUGGAGGAAAUAACCUGAAACAACAACAAAAAUAAUAAGGAAGUCCCCAGAGAUAGAAAGAAAAAUGUGAACCAGCAAACCGGUGAACAAUCACACUCAGCUUGGAGAAGCGGCCUCCCCCUUGAGCUACAGUUUUGGACUGUGGAAGGAACCCUCAGUGACUCUACUUGGAUGGCACUUAGCUUUUGUUGACCCAGUGACUUUCCUCGAUACACUGACUCCUCUUUUUGUUAUGUGGGGAGGGGUUUUUUUGGACUGUGUAAGUGAGUUGUAGUUGUUGCUCUCCUCCUUUCUCUGUCUCUCCCUCUCUAUCUCCUCACCAGACUAUUUCUAGUUUCAUGUGUAAUCUACUUGAUGUUUGAUUACUUGAAGGGGCAGCGUUCAGUUGCCUAGAUUUUUCGAGCACUCUGUGUAAAAUGAAGGUGAUCUUUGUGUAAAUCUUUUCAUGGCUCGGGAUGAUGAUGAUGAUGAUAUGUACAGGGGGAAUGUUUUGAUACGUUUUUAUGGUCCUUCCACAGUCAAACAAGAUGAAGAAAUUGAAAGAAAAUCUAAGGCUCCAGAUUUUUUUUUUUUUUGCAAAACUGUCCCCUACAUUUUCUCAGAAAUCUUGCUGAUAUGUCUUUGUCUGCAAGGAAAGAUUAAAAAAAGAAAAGAAAAGGAAAAAAAAACAUUCGGGCCUCUAACCAUUC